UUCUCCUAGAGUUAAGAGAAAAAGAAAAGAAUGGGUUAAGAAAGAGUUUAAAAGAUCAUGAAUGCAAAGGGUAGAGUUAAGUUCUUAAUUGGGAUGGGAGAUGGGAUUUCCAUUAGAUCUUCAUUGAUUAUACUUUGGGUAGAUGAGAUCUUAUCUUUGUAUGCAUAAUUUGGGACUUACCUUUAGCAUUCUACUAAAGCUUAAUCAUUCUUGAGAGAUCCCUUGUUACUAAAGCUUAUUCUUUUAAAGGACCAUUUUUGUCUCUUGACCCUUUACCCUUAGUCAAAUGAGUUUAAUAUGGAUUGUAUAGUAUGAUCCAUGGUUCUUGCUUAAUGAAUGUUAAAGGGAGUAUGCUGAUUUGAAUGCUUGAAUAGACUAAGUUAAUGGUUAGGUCGUGUUGUAAAGAAGAUGGCUAAAGUUUUUAAGUAGAGAUCAUUCAACCUAGCACUCUAGAACUACCAACAUGGACAUUGAGACCAUUUAUUUUACAUGCAUAUUUUGGUUC
rnacentral:sRNA from 1 species